GGAAACUGCCUUUCAGGCAUCCUCUCCCAAACUUUACAGAGCCGCUUUCGAGCGGCUCUUUUUUUGCCCGGGC
rnacentral:sRNA from 1 species